AUUGAACGCUGGCGGCAUGCCUUACACAUGCAAGUCGAACGGCAGCACGGGGGCAACCCUGGUGGCGAGUGGCGAACGGGUGAGUAAUGCAUCGGAACGUGCCCAGUAGUGGGGGAUAACCAGUCGAAAGACUGGCUAAUACCGCAUACGACCUACGGGUGAAAGCGGGGGACCGUAAGGCCUCGCGCUAUUGGAGCGACCGAUGUCUGAUUAGCUAGUUGGCGGGGUAAGAGCCCACCAAGGCGACGAUCAGUAGCUGGUCUGAGAGGACGACCAGCACCACGGGGACUGAGACACGGCCAAGACUCCGACGGGAGGCAGCAGUGGGGAAGUUUGGACAAUGGGCGCGAGCCUGAUCCAGCCAUACCGCGUGGGUGAAGAAGGCCUUCGGGUUGUAAAGCCCUUUUGUUGGGAAAGAAAAGCAUUCGGUUAAUACCCGAGUGUUCUGACGGUACCCAAAGAAUAAGCACCGGCUAACUUCGUGCCAGCCGCCGCCGUAAAAC
rnacentral:rRNA from 1 species